GAUGAACGCUAGCGGGAGGCCUAACACAUGCAAGCCGAGCGGUAUUGUUUCUUCGGAAAUGAGAGAGCGGCGUACGGGUGCGGAACACGUGUGCAACCUGCCUUUAUCUGGGGGAUAGCCUUUCGAAAGGAAGAUUAAUACUCCAUAAUAUAUUGAUUGGCAUCAAUUAAUAUUGAAAGCUCCGGCGGAUAGAGAUGGGCACGCGCAAGAUUAGCUAGUUGGUGAGGUAACGGCUCACCAAGGCGAUGAUCUUUAGGGGGCCUGAGAGGGUGAUCCCCCACACUGGUACUGAGACACGGACCAGACUCCUACGGGAGGCAGCAGUGAGGAAUAUUGGUCAAUGGGUGCAAGCCUGAACCAGCCAUCCCGCGUGAAGGACGACUGCCCUAUGGGUUGUAAACUUCUUUUGUAUAGGGAUAAACCUACCCUCGUGAGGGUAGCUGAAGGUACUAUACGAAUAGGCACCGGCUAACUCCGUGCCAGCAGCCGCAGUAAUAC
rnacentral:rRNA from 1 species